rnacentral:rRNA from 1 species
UGUUUCGGCUAGGGGGUCAUCCCGACUUACCAACCCGAUGCAAACUACGAAUACCGAAGAAUGUUAUCACGGGAGACACACGGCGGGUGCUAACGUCCGUCGUGAAGAGGGAAACAACCCAGACCGCCAGCUAAGGUCCCAAAGUCAUGGUUAAGUGGGAAACGAUGUGGGAAGGCACAGACAGCCAGGAUGUUGGCUUAGAAGCAGCCAUCAUUUAAAGAAAGCGUAAUAGCUCACUGGUCGAGUCGGCCUGCGCGGAAGAUGUAACGGGGCUAAACCAUGCACCGAAGCUGCGGCAGCGACACUAUGUGUUGUUGGGUAGGGGAGCGUUCUGUAAGCCUGCGAAGGUGGCCUGUGAGGGUUGCUGGAGGUAUCAGAAGUGCGAAUGCUGACAUAAGUAACGAUAAAGCGGGUGAAAAGCCCGCUCGCCGGAAGACCAAGGGUUCCUGUCCAACGUUAAUCGGGGCAGGGUGAGUCGACCCCUAAGGCGAGGCCGAAAGGCGUAGUCGAUGGGAAACAGGUUAAUAUUCCUGUACUUGGUGUUACUGCGAAGGGGGGACGGAGAAGGCUAUGUUAGCCGGGCGACGGUUGUCCCGGUUUAAGCAUGUAGGCGGAGGUUCCAGGUAAAUCCGGUACCUUUUAACGCUGAGGUGUGAUGACGAGGCACUACGGUGCUGAAGUAACAAAUGCCCUGCUUCCAGGAAAAG